AUGUCAAUCCAGCUCUGUUUUCCUGACCCUCGUGCCACCUGGCGGCUGGUGACGGAAACAUCCGGGUUGCGACCCGUCAUGACGUCAUCCGCGAUCGUCCGUGCGCUAUUACGACUUCGGAAUCGAUGUACAUACCAUUGUCCGCAUUUCUACACGUCAAACGCGACACGACCCCCCCCCCCCCCCCUUCUUCCGAUUUCACCCCUUCUCCGGGCUGUUUUGCAUGGUUGCGGCUUUCGGGUGCCGAUUCCCGUGCGACCCGUCCCCAAAAGUCAUUUAUCAACCCCUCGCUGUGUCCUCACGUACGACCGCUUACAACCGCGCGCUGACCUCCUUUUUGAAAGGGCUGCGUCGCGGAGGGUUGCCCUCUGGUCAGGGUGCUGAGAACAAGAGGAGUCUCUAUCAGAUAGACAAUUUCCGUGAUAUUUUUCGUGAAAUUGUGCGAUGUUGUGCAAAUUAUGAUGAUGCGAAACAUUCAUUUCCGGGACUGGGUAUGCAACUCGCACAAGAAAAAAAAACAACAAAAACUUAAAAAUACCUAAUCACGUAUUGCCAUUAUCCUUUAUUUGAUUCUGCCAUUGUACGCGGAAUUAAGAUAGGUACGAUGAUGCCCUAAAAAUAUGUUGGCAGAGUUUUUAUGAAUACUCGAACCGUAUAUAUCUUAACUUUAAAAGAUUCACCAAAAAUUUGGAGGAAUUUCAACAAAAUCGGUCCGGCUGAAAAGUAAUCGUAGACAUCUAGAACAUUAUGAGAGGAAAGCACGACAGCAUAACUAAUUGAUAACUUCCCCGGAUAAAUGGAAUUGCCAAACCACACGAGUUUUUCAAGGCGCCUAAGAAUGCUCAAAAGAGAUCCCAUCCUCACAUUUUGUUUACUCUUAAAUUUUCCAGUCGACUCUGAAUAGCUGAAAAUAUCCUGCAAGAAGUUGCUAUUAACACUUAUUGAUGAAGACGAGCCUUCAGUAUUUGAGACUCGUAUCGAUAGGAACGAAGUUUCAGAAAUUUUUAUGAAUCACCAUUGUGAAAUUGAAUUUCAUAAAUUUGAAUGAGAUUUUGGAUCUAAGGUUUUACGAGGAGGCUGAAUGGCGGGGCUAGAGGGCGGUAGUGAACUGGUCGGAAACCCUGGCGAGGUUGAUCUUGACGAGGACGGGGGCUGCGGAGGGCGGGGCCUCCGGGGGGCGGAGCCUCUGGGGAGCGGGGGGCGGGGCCUCCUGGGGGCGGAGCCUCGGGGGAGCGGGGAACGGGGCCUCG
rnacentral:lncRNA from 1 species